UACGGAGGGAGCUAGCGUUGUUCGGAAUUACUGGGCGUAAAGCGCGCGUAGGCGGCUUUGUAAGUCAGAGGUGAAAUCCCGGAGCUCAACUCCGGAACUGCCUUUGAGACUGCAUCGCUUGAAUCCGGGAGAGGUGAGUGGAAUUCCGAGUGUAGAGGUGAAAUUCGUAGAUAUCGGAAGGAACAUCAGUGGCGAAAGCGGCUUCCUGGUCCAGCACCGACGUUCAAGCACGAAAGCGUGGGGAGCAAACAGG
rnacentral:rRNA from 1 species